GGGCAAUUAACUCAGCGGUAGAGUGUUACCUUCACACGGUAAAAGUCAGAGGUUCGAAUCCUCUAUUGCCCA
rnacentral:tRNA from 1 species